rnacentral:miRNA from 1 species
CAGUUGCAAGAGUCGGACAUGCCU